rnacentral:lncRNA from 1 species
ACGCACAACGGGGGGGUCGUGCCACGCACAACGGGGAGGUCGUGCCACGCACAACGGGGAGGUCGUGCCACGCACAACGGGGAGGUCGUGCCACGCACAACGGGGAGGUCGUGCCACGCACAACGGGGGGGUCGUGCCACGCACAACGGGGGGGUCAUGCCACGCACAACGGGGGGGUCGUGCCACGCACAACGGGGGGGGCGUGCCACGCACAACGGGGAGGUCGUCCCAAGCACAACGGGGAGGUCGUGCCACGCACAACGUGGGGGGUCAAACCACGCACAACGGGGAGGUCGUGCCACGCACAACGUGGGGGGUCAUGCCACGCACAACGGAGGGUCGUGCCACGCACAACGGGGGGGUCGUGCCACGCACAACGGGGAGGUCGUGCCACGCACAACGGGGAGGUCGUGCCACGCACAACGGGGAGGUCGUGCCACGCACAACGGGGAGGUCGUGCCACGCACAACGGGGAGGUCGUGCCACACACAACGGGGAGGUCGUGUCACGCACAACGUGCCAAAUAUAAUCAUUUAAAUAGUCUAAACAAGGCAAUUCCAGUUAUAAUUAAUAACAUCGUUUUAGGAUAAUAUUCGUUAGCGGGUGACGAUUGUGGUUUUCUCGAUGCUGCAGAUUUAAUUUUUGCUUCGAUGAACUACAAUUUUUGUUGAGACUCUUUGAGAGUUGCUGUGAGUCUAGCUGUCUCUUGCUGACCCCGCUCCGUAAUGUGAACCUUGUGUUACUGACACGCGUCUUCAAGCUUCAGACACUGUUCACCAAUAGUCUCUAACAACCUGAUGUCCUUUUUAAGCGCUUCCAUUUCUUCUUGUUUCCGUUCAUUAUCGAGUUAACAGGCAAGUGUUCGUGUCUGAAUUGCACUUAAGGUGACCUCGGCCUGGUGAAGUGAUUGUCUCACGUGCCUCAGCUCUGAAUUAAGAAGUCCCUCUUCUAUUUUAUGAGAUGUUUUCGUACGCAACAUAUCAGCAGAUAUACUUGUAUAUCUUGACCAGAUUUCCUUCUUUUCACUCUAGCACUUAAUUUCUCUCACUUAAUACUCUUUUAUCAAUUUAUCUUUUAUCAACAUUUGUUUGUAAACAAAUUUAUAUUAUUUAUUCUUGCGGUUAUAUUAGUCUUUCCAAUAGUCACUUAAAUUCAAAGCGUUUCUAAACUCGGUUUCGACAGAGUUGUGUUUUUGUUUGACACCUUCGAGCUCUGAGUGGAGAAGUGCGUGUUCCUCAUGUUUUUGUUAGAGUUGAGCUUCAACAGCGUCGCACGUGUUAAUCACGUGAUCUUUGUGCUCUACACCUUCCCUCUUCAUUAAUGCUUCUCCUUGCGAGUGAUCUUCGCUCUCAUCCUCACCAACAGUUUCCAUAUCAUUACUACUGCGUUUGGAGAGUGAAUGUGAAGCUUAUAGUUGCUCACGAAGCUGGGCGUUCUCUGUCUCUUUGGCAGCGACGGUUUUUCUCAAUCUUGCAAUAUUCCGGCGGAGAAUUAGGUUUUCAUUCGUCACCUCAUUGUGCAACUCAUGCUUUUCGUCUGCGAUACUUCUCAUGUCUUCUAAAUCAACGAUAAGUUUCUGGUGCUUGUUAUGCAGCCUUUUGUGCUGCUUUUGCUUCUCCUCGACAAUUUGUCUCAUAUUUUCCACAUGAGCAAUAAGCUCAUGGUGCUCCUUGUGCAGUUGCUCGUGUUGCUUGUGUUUCUCCUCAAGCUCACCUUUAACAUGGGUAAAUUAUUGAUGGGCGUGGUCUCUCUAACUGACCAUAGCAGUCAGCUCGUUCUUCCCGCGUUCAUGUAACGCAUAAUAGUUACGAUACAGAUCCCUGUAUUACGCCCUGAGGCCCUCUACUUAGUCUUUACAUUUCCCUUCCUCCGAUUGCGCUUGUAGUAAAUCUUUGUACAAUUUAUUUGCCCUAAUAUUGGCAGAUUCAAUUUUUGCCUUGAGUGGCAUGUAGAUAUUUUUACUCGUCUCGCGAAAGCGUGCGCAGCUGUCGAAAUGCUUCUGAAGGUCUUUAAGCUCUGCCUGGAGCGCACCGAUGUCUUUGCUUUCAUGUUCCUGCAGUGUGGUUCUACAUUUUUGGAACUCCCAAUAGUAAUAGUCACGAUCGUCUUGCAGGUCCUCCACCUUCGAGGUCAUCUCCGCAGUAUUGUCUCGUAGUUCCUCAUACUUUUUCACCAACUUUGCAUUUUCCUUCAUUUUUUUCUACGUAAUUAUUUUCUAAUUUUUUAAUUUUUAUUUUAUUUGGUCAUUUUCUGAC